rnacentral:miRNA from 2 species
GCCUAGCUAGCUAUCAACAGUUUUCAGAAAUAGUAAUUGAAUGAUUUUCAAAGGAAUUGAGAUCUCAAAAUUCUUAUGGAUUAGCUUCAU